GAAGUAUUUCACCCGCACUAUAACCCGGUGUAUUAUGCGAAUGUAUUAUCCCGGUGUAUGGGGUUAGACUGCGAGUGAAGGGGGAUCACAAGUGGUCCAUAAACAUUGCAUUGUUUUUAAAAAUACUAACAGAAGCAUAUUUAUGGCGUAUGGAGACCUGCGCACUGUUGUGCCAGAUAUCCAGCAUGACAGAGAAUUGCAGAAGUCCUAAAGAAAAAGACCAGUCAGCACUAAAUAUGGAGUUUUAACAUAAAUUUGAUGUAUUUGUCAAUAAAAGUUUAAAAAAACUGAAAACUGAAGCAGCGAACUUUAAACCAAGAAGUGCCAGUCUAACAAUAAUACAGUUGUGGCCAAAGUUUUGAGAGAUUUCCAUCCAAUAUGCAGGGGUUUAGCUCAAAGUGGCAUGCCCUUUCCUUGCACCAAAAUAAUGCCUGCAGGCAGACAGUAUGUGUAGCGUAAACCUGGCGCAGAUUUGUGUAUGCUUAAGAUGCACCUGAUCUAUCGAGAGCCUAGGGGGCUAGCUCUAAAUUCAGUGAGGCUGACACAGGCUGGCUUUUAUAUAAGACCAGCAUAUAAAAUGUUGGUCUUUGUAGGGGUAGGCGAUAUAUCUGUUCAUUCCGAAUACCAAAAUUUUUGGCUGCACGAUAUGAUUUUUUUCCCAUACUGC